rnacentral:rRNA from 1 species
GUUAAGUUGCAGGGUAUAGACCCGAAACCCGGUGAUCUAGCCAUGGGCAGGUUGAAGGUUGGGUAACACUAACUGGAGGACCGAACCGACUAAUGUUGAAAAAUUAGCGGAUGACUUGUGGCUGGGGGUGAAAGGCCAAUCAAACCGGGAGAUAGCUGGUUCUCCCCGAAAGCUAUUUAGGUAGCGCCUCGUGAACUCAUCUUCGGGGGUAGAGCACUGUUUCGGCUAGGGGGUCAUCCCGACUUACCAACCCGAUGCAAACUACGAAUACCGAAGAAUGUUAUCACGGGAGACACACGGCGGGUGCUAACGUCCGUCGUGAAGAGGGAAACAACCCAGACCGCCAGCUAAGGUCCCAAAGUCAUGGUUAAGUGGGAAACGAUGUGGGAAGGCACAGACAGCCAGGAUGUUGGCUUAGAAGCAGCCAUCAUUUAAAGAAAGCGUAAUAGCUCACUGGUCGAGUCGGCCUGCGCGGAAGAUGUAACGGGGCUAAACCAUGCACCGAAGCUGCGGCAGCGACACUAUGUGUUGUUGGGUAGGGGAGCGUUCUGUAAGCCUGCGAAGGUGUGCUGUGAGGCAUGCUGGAGGUAUCAGAAGUGCGAAUGCUGACAUAAGUAACGAUAAAGCGGGUGAAAAGCCCGCUCGCCGGAAGACCAAGGGUUCCUGUCCAACGUUAAUCGGGGCAGGGUGAGUCGACCCCUAAGGCGAGGCCGAAAGGCGUAGUCGAUGGGAAACAGGUUAAUAUUCCUGUACUUGGUGUUACUGCGAAGGGGGGACGGAGAAGGCUAUGUUAGCCGGGCGACGGUUGUCCCGGUUUAAGCAUGUAGGCUGGUUGUCCAGGCAAAUCCGGAUAAUCAAGGCUGAGGUGUGAUGACGAGGCACUACGGUGCUGAAGUAACAAAUGCCCUGCUUCCAGGAAAAGCCUCUAAGCAUCAGGUAACAUUAAAUCGUACCCCAAACCGACACAGGUGGUCAGGUAGAGAAUACCAAGGCGCUUGAGAGAACUCGGGUGAAGGAACUAGGCAAAAUGGUGCCGUAACUUCGGGAGAAGGCACGCUGGUGUGUAGGUGAAGUCCCUGCGGAUGGAGCUGAGACCAGUCGAAGAUACCAGCUGGCUGCAACUGUUUAUUAAAAACACAGCACUGUGCAAACACGAAAGUGGACGUAUACGGUGUGACGCCUGCCCGGUGCCGGAAGGUUAAUUGAUGGGGUUAUCCGUAAGGAGAAGCUCUUGAUCGAAGCCCCGGUAAACGGCGGCCGUAACUAUAACGGUCCUAAGGUAGCGAAAUUCCUUGUCGGGUAAGUUCCGACCUGCACGAAUGGCGUAAUGAUGGCCAGGCUGUCUCCACCCGAGACUCAGUGAAAUUGAACUCGCUGUGAAGAUGCAGUGUACCCGCGGCAAGACGGAAAGACCCCGUGAACCUUUACUAUAGCUUGACACUGAACAUUGAGCCUUGAUGUGUAGGAUAGGUGGGAGGCUUUGAAGCGUGGACGCCAGUCUGCGUGGAGCCAACCUUGAAAUACCACCCUUUAAUGUUUGAUGUUCUAACGUUGGCCCCUGACCGGGGUUGCGGACAGUGUCUGGUGGGUAGUUUGACUGGGGCGGUCUCCUCCCAAAGCGUAACGGAGGAGCACGAAGGUUAGCUAAUCCUGGUCGGACAUCAGGAGGUUAGUGCAAUGGCAUAAGCUAGCUUGACUGCGAGCGUGACGGCGCGAGCAGGUGCGAAAGCAGGUCAUAGUGAUCCGGUGGUUCUGAAUGGAAGGGCCAUCGCUCAACGGAUAAAAGGUACUCCGGGGAUAACAGGCUGAUACCGCCCAAGAGUUCAUAUCGACGGCGGUGUUUGGCACCUCGAUGUCGGCUCAUCACAUCCUGGGGCUGAAGUAGGUCCCAAGGGUAUGGCUGUUCGCCAUUUAAAGUGGUACGCGAGCUGGGUUUAGAACGUCGUGAGACAGUUCGGUCCCUAUCUGCCGUGGGCGCUGGAGAAUUGAGGGGGGCUGCUCCUAGUACGAGAGGACCGGAGUGGACGCAUCACUGGUGUUCGGGUUGUCAUGCCAAUGGCACUGCCCGGUAGCUAAAUGCGGAAGAGAUAAGUGCUGAAAGCAUCUAAGCACGAAACUUGCCCCGAGAUGAGUUCUCCCUGAGACUUUAAGUCUCCUGAAGGAACGUUGAAGACGACGACGUUGAUAGGCCGGGUGUGUAAGCGCAGCGAUGCGUUGAGCUAACCGGUACUAAUGAACCGUGAGGCUUAACCUU